GGUAAAUAGCUCAGUGGUAGAGCGCAUGCUUAGCACGUAUGAGGUCCUGCGUUCAAUCCCCAGUACCA
rnacentral:tRNA from 1 species